CAGCAGCCACGGGAAUACGUAGGUGGCAAGCGUUGUCCGGAAUUAUUGGGCGUAAAGCGUGCGCAGGCGGUUAUAUAAGUCAGAUGUGAAAUCCCCGGGCUCAACCUGAGAACUGCAUUUGAGACUGCAUGGCUAGAGUGUGUCAGAGGGGGGUAGAAUUCCACGUGUAGCAGUGAAAUGCGUAGAUAUGUGGAGGAACACCGAUGGCGAAGGCAGCCCCCUGGGAUAACACUGACGCUCAUGCACGAAAGCGUGGGGAGCAAACAGGAUUAGAUACCCGCGUAGUCCCUGUCUCUUAUAC
rnacentral:rRNA from 1 species